AUUCUUGUUAUUCUGUACCAGGAGCUAGUGCUCACUCAGCAGGGACCUAGGCCAAUCAAAUUACAAAAGCAGUCCAUGAUAAAGUACAUGUCAGCAGUUCACAGAGAUAAAAGGCUCGUGUGGAAACAAGAGGGUGAGUGUAGACUGUUAGGGCUGCCCCGAUCCUCUAUCACUCACAAGAGCCACCUCACAAUUCACCUCCAUUGUAUUUGAUUUUUUUUUAAAGCUUACCUAACAACCCCUUAAGUUUAACAGUGUGGUCUACUUAGAGUGCUUGAGUCAGUGCAGGCUUUGCUGUUGUCAAGAGGAUUCUUCAUGAUUAGUCUCCCCUGUUGAUGAUGGACAGGAUGAGCCACAACAGGAUGAUCUCCGUCUGGUCAAAGGUCUGUGGAGCAAAGAAUAACUAGUCUUCAAUGCUAGAAGGAUUCCUUCUGUCUUCAAAGAGUGGGAGAGAAAAUGACUGAUGAUGUUUCUUGUGGCAUGCCACUCCACAGGAGGAAAUCUAUGUCUGAUACUGUACAUCGAGCCAAAGACGCCUGGCUAGGGAACUCACAUACCCCAGAGGAUGUCUUCAGUUACAGACAUCUCCAUGAAGAUGGCAAGCAGAUACAAACAUCCUCUCUUGGCCAUGCAUGCACUCAGUACCACAGCACACCAUAACAGAGAUAAGAAAGGAGGCCCACCUAAUGCUGUUCCCCACCUUUGGGUAUCCUCUCUGCUGUUACUUUUUCAGAUAUGUGUCCUUCACAGCACCUUAUUCCUCUGCUGUUUUCCCUUUGGUCUUCUUUAUAGACCUCCUAGCUUUCCAAGACCCAAGACCAAAGCUCAUAUAUACUGAUACCACAGGCCUUCCAAGUAAGGAGAUUAAAUGGGCUUUAGUAAUCUCUCUCUCUCUCUCUCUCUCUCUCUCUCUCUCUCUCUCUCUCUCUCUCUCUCGCUGCAACAGUGAUUUUUAGUAAGAGAAACAAUGAU